rnacentral:rRNA from 1 species
UCCUACGGGAGGCAGCAGUGGGGAAUAUUGCACAAUGGGCGCAAGCCUGAUGCAGCAACGCCGCGUGAGGGACGAAGGCCUUCGGGUUGUAAACCUCUUUUAGUAGGGAAGAAGCGACUGGGUUUUCCUGGGAGUGACGGUACCUGCAGAAAAAGCACCGGCUAACUACGUGCCAGCAGCCGCGGUAAUACGUAGGGUGCAAGCGUUGUCCGGAAUUAUUGGGCGUAAAGAGCUCGUAGGCGGUUUGUCGCGUCUGCUGUGAAAACCCGAGGCUCAACCUCGGGCCUGCAGUGGGUACGGGCAGACUAGAGUGCGGUAGGGGAGAUCGGAAUUCCUGGUGUAGCGGUGGAAUGCGCAGAUAUCAGGAGGAACACCAAUGGCGAAGGCAGAUCUCUGGGCCGUAACUGACGCUGAGGAGCGAAAGCAUGGGGAGCGAACAGGAUUAGAUACCCUGGUAGUCCAUGCCGUAAACGUUGGGAACUAGAUGUGGGGACCAUUCCACGGUCUCCGUGUCGCAGCUAACGCAUUAAGUUCCCCGCCUGGGGAGUACGGCCGCAAGGCUAAAACUCAAAGGAAUUGACGGGGGCCCGCACAAGCGGCGGAGCAUGCGGAUUAAUUCGAUGCAACGCGAAGAACCUUACCAAGGCUUGACAUAUACCGGAAACGGCUGGAAACAGUCGCCCCGCAAGGUCGGUAUACAGGUGGUGCAUGGUUGUCGUCAGCUCGUGUCGUGAGAUGUUGGGUUAAGUCCCGCAACGAGCGCAACCCUCGUCCUAUGUUGCCAGCACGUAAUGGUGGGAACUCAUGGGAUACUGCCGGGGUCAACUCGGAGGAAGGUGGGGAUGACGUCAAAUCAUCAUGCCCCUUAUGUCUUGGGCUUCACGCAUGCUACAAUGGCCGGUACAAAGGGCUGCGAUACCGCAAGGUGGAGCGAAUCCCAAAAAGCCGGUCUCAGUUCGGAUUGAGGUCUGCAACUCGACCUCAUGAAGUCGGAGUCGCUAGUAAUCGCAGAUCAGCAACGCUGCGGUGAAUACGUUCCCGGGCCUUGUACACACCGC